AGGUAAGCUACUAAGAGCGAAUGGUGGAUGCCUUGACUGGUAAAGGCGAUGAAGGACGUACUAGACUGCGAUAAGCUACGGGGAGCUGUCAAGAAGCUUUGAUCCGUAGAUUUCCGAAUGGGGCAACCCAAUGUAUAGAGAUAUACAUUACCUAUAUAGGAGCGAACGAGGGGAAUUGAAACAUCUUAGUACUCUCAGGAAAAGAAAUCAAUAGAGAUUGCGUCAGUAGCGGCGAGCGAAAGCGCAAGAGGGCAAACCCAGUGCUUGCACUGGGGGUUGUAGGACUGCAAUGUGCAAGAGGUAAGUUUAGCAGAACAUUCUGGAAAGUAUAACCAUAGAGGGUGAUAGUCCCGUAUGCGAAAAACAAACCUUAGCUAGCAGUAUCCUGAGUAGGGCGGGACACGAGGAAUCCUGUCUGAAUCCGGGUCGACCACGAUCCAACCCUAAAUACUAAUACCAGAUCGAUAGUGCACAAGUACCGUGAGGGAAAGGUGAAAAGAACUGAGGUGAUCAGAGUG
rnacentral:rRNA from 1 species